GACGAACGCUGGCGGCGUGCUUAACACAUGCAAGUCGAACGGAAAGGCCCUGCUUUUGUGGGGUGCUCGAGUGGCGAACGGGUGAGUAACACGUGAGUAACCUGCCCUUGACUUUGGGAUAACUUCAGGAAACUGGGGCUAAUACCGGAUAGGAGCUCCUGCUGCAUGGCGGGGGUUGGAAAGUUUCGGCGGUUGGGGAUGGACUCGCGGCUUAUCAGCUUGUUGGUGGGGUAGUGGCUUACCAAGGCUUUGACGGGUAGCCGGCCUGAGAGGGUGACCGGCCACAUUGGGACUGAGAUACGGCCCAGACUCCUACGGGAGGCAGCAGUGGGGAAUAUUGCACAAUGGGCGGAAGCCUGAUGCAGCAACGCCGCGUGCGGGAUGACGGCCUUCGGGUUGUAAACCGCUUUCGCCUGUGACGAAGCGUGAGUGACGGUAAUGGGUAAAGAAGCACCGGCUAACUACGUGCCAGCAGCCGCGGUGAUACGUAGGGUGCGAGCGUUGUCCGGAUUUAUUGGGCGUAAAGGGCUCGUAGGUGGUUGAUCGCGUCGGAAGUGUAAUCUUGGGGCUUAACCCUGAGCGUGCUUUCGAUACGGGUUGACUUGAGGAAGGUAGGGGAGAAUGGAAUUCCUGGUGGAGCGGUGGAAUGCGCAGAUAUCAGGAGGAACACCAGUGGCGAAGGCGGUCCUCUGGGCCUUUCCUGACGCUGAGGAGCGAAAGCGUGGGGAGCGAACAGGCUUAGAUACCCUGGUAGUCCACGCUGUAAACGGUGGGUACUAGGUGUGGGGUCCAUUCCACGGGUUCCGUGCCGUAGCUAACGCUUUAAGUACCCCGCCUGGGGAGUACGGCCGCAAGGCUAAAACUCAAAGGAAUUGACGGGGCCCCGCACAAGCGGCGGAGCAUGCGGAUUAAUUCGAUGCAACGCGUAGAACCUUACCUGGGUUUGACAUGGAUCGGGAGCGCUCAGAGAUGGGUGUGCCUCUUUUGGGGUCGGUUCACAGGUGGUGCAUGCCUGUCGUCAGCUCGUGUCGUGAGAUGUUGGGUUAAGUCCCGCAACGAGCGCAACCCUUGUUCACUGUUGCCAGCACGUUAUGGUGGGGACUCAGUGGAGACCGCCGGGGUCAACUCGGAGGAAGGUGGGGAUGACGUCAAGUCCUCAUGCCCCUUAUGUCCAGGGCUUCACGCAUGCUACAAUGGCUGGUACAGAGAGUGGCGAGCCUGUGAGGGUGAGCGAAUCUCGGAAAGCCGGUCUCAGUUCGGAUUGGGGUCUGCAACUCGACCUCAUGAAGUCGGAGUCGCUAGUAAUCGCAGAUCAGCAACGCUGCGGUGAAUACGUUCCCGGG
rnacentral:rRNA from 1 species